rnacentral:rRNA from 1 species
GGUGAACGCUGGCGGAAGGCCUAACACAUGCAAGUCGAUCGACAGCACCAGGAGAUCUCGCUCUUACUGUUAGCGAUUGUCGGGCGGGUGACGCAUACAUCCGCAUCUACUUUUUCGUGGGGAAUAACGUGGGGCAACUUACGCUACUACCGCAUACAAUCUACCGGUGAACUCAGGGGUUCUUGUGACUUUUCGCGCUGGAUUUAGCCGGUGUCGGAUUAGCUAGGUGGCUGGGUAAAGGCCCACCAAGGCGACGAUCCGUAGCUUGUCUGAGAGGAUGAUCAGCCACACUGGAACUGAGGCACGGUCCAGACUCCUACGGGAGGCAGCAGUGGGGAAUAUUGGACAAUGGGCGCAAGCCUGACCCAGCAAUACCGCGUGGGUGAAGAAGGCCUUCGGGUUGUAAAGCCCUUUUGUUGGGAAAGAAAAGCAGCAGGUUAAUACCCCCCUGUUCUGACGGUACCCAACGAACAAGCACCGGCUAACUUCGUG